UACGUGGGAGGGCUAGCGUUGUCCGGAUUUAUUGGGCGUAAAGAGCGUGUAGGCGGUCCGAUAAGUCGGUUGUGAAAGUCCAGGGCUCAACCCUGGGAUGCCGACCGAUACUGUCGGACUAGAGUUCGGAAGAGGCGAGUGGAAUUCCCGGGUGUAGCGGUGAAAUGCGCAGAUAUCGGGAGGAACACCUAUGGCGAAGGCAGCUCGCUGGGACGUUACUGAGCUGAGACGCGAAAGCGUGGGGAGCAAACAGG
rnacentral:rRNA from 1 species